CCUACGGGUGGCAGCAGUGAGGAAUAUUGGUCAAUGGACGAGAGUCUGAACCAGCCAAGUAGCGUGAAGGAUGACUGCCCUAUGGGUUGUAAACUUCUUUUAUAUGGGAAUAAAAUGGUCCACGUGUGGGACUUUGUAUAUACCAUAUGAAUAAGGAUCGGCGAACUCCGUGACAGCAGCCGCGGUAAUACGGAGGGUCCGAGCGUUACCCGGAUUGAUUGGGUUUAAAGGGAGCGUAGGUGGUUUGUUAAGUCAGUUGUGAAAGGUUGCGGCUCAACCGUAAAAUUGCAGUUGAAACUGGCAGUCUUGAGUACAGUAGAGGUGGGCGGAAUUCGUGGUGUAGCGGUGAAAUGCUUAGAUAUCACGAAGAACUCCGAUUGCGAAGGCAGCUCACUGGACUGCAACUGACACUGAGGCUCGAAAGUGUGGGGAUCAAACAGGAUUAGAUACCCUUGUAGUC
rnacentral:rRNA from 1 species